CAAAAAAACCUAGACAACGAGAAAGAAAGAAAACCCAGAACCCAUUCCUCAAUAUCCCCGUCGCUUCGAAACCCGCCUGCACCGUCGUCCACCCUAGCUUCUGCAAGAUCAAGCUCCACAACCUCCCCGUCCAGACCGUCGUCGUCCCCUACCACCCGCCGUAGACCCAAACCCUCGACACCGAUCACGGAGUACUCGCUGCUACUUUCCCCUCCGAUUUAGACCGGGUCGCGUCGAAGUCCAUCUUCUCCAGCUCCAUCUGUGGAGUAAGCUCUGGGAGGCAGCUUGUCUUCACCUGCAAAUUGAGCUUCCAAACCAUCGGCGAUGAUCGAACCUAGAGAUCCAGGUAGCUAGGCAGCAAAAUUUCAGAUACAAACAAGUUUGUAUCUCUCAAAUCGCUAAAAAUCUAUUUCGAGAUUGUAAGUUCUCCUUUGGCUGUCACUGUUUUCACUCUCACAAUACUAACCUAAUUUUUCUGUUAUUGUCGGGUUUGUUUAAUUAUUUUUGGAAUUAGAUUUCCAUGAAUGUGAGCUGCCGAUGGGUACCAGCCCGGGCUCCUCUCUGGGAAAGCCUGCUGUGGAGAAGAGGUCCAAGGGGGCUGCACUUAUACAGAUCCAAAAUGACACCAUCUCUGCCUCCAAAGCUGCUCUAAAUCCCGUUCGCACAAGCAACAUGAUCAUGAUGCCCCAGAAGCACCGCCACAAGCCCAAAAACCUCUUCUCUUGGAUUCAACUUGUUAGCUACUAAGUGAUUUGUUACUAACUAAGUAAUUAGUUUGUAAUUGCAGCCUGUUUCAUAUGCACAACUUGCCAAGGGGCAUUCACGAGUUGGCUGCUACCUCCGAUCAAGUUUUUUUUUUUUUUUUUUCCAAAUUUCAAUUCUUUUUCUUCCCUUACUUGAUCAUUCAUUCAGCUUGGGCUGGGCUCAAAACUAAUUCUGCUAUUUCUCUGUGAAUGUGCUCUGUCACUUAAUCUGGGUCUGAAUUUGGGGAGGAAUGAGCAAUUUGAGAGCCAAGUUCUUGGAGGUCUACUCUGUUUUGAAAUAUGAGCUCAUCAAUGACCCUGCUUUCGAAUUCACUGAUGUUUCUCGUCAAUGGAUCGAGAAAGUUAAACUGGACUGGAUUGUGUGGAAUGUAGAAGAAAUUAGAAUUUAUAGUUGCUAUUGUUGUUGGACAAAGGUUGGCUUCUGUCCAGGAUUGUUGAUUAAAUAUAAGAUAAUAGAGGAGCCAAGUGCUAUUCAUGCCGGACUUCUCUAUGGUCUAGGAUUACAUGGUUACGACAUGUUUUGAAUAUUUGGGUGCGUACUCCAUGCAUUCCUAUUCUUAUUCCAUUUUCACUGCCUUACAAUUCCUUGAAUUUCCUGGACCUGUAUUUGAUUUGUCAUGAUACAGUUGAAUACAACCUUUUUUUUUUGGGUACUUUUGUCUCUGUUUAGUGUCUUAUCACACUUUACAAAUAUCUAGGAACAUGAAAUUACAACUCUAGGCCUAAUGAAUUAAUUGCUGUAAUUGUUAUUUGGGCUGAAUUAACAUGAAUUUGUUUGGAUUAUAUGCAAGGAUUCUUGUAAAUCUAUGCGAUAUUGGGAAUCUAAAGGUAUGUGUUCAUACUAUUGCUGUAAGUUUUCUUUACUUAUAUUGGGGUUAUCAUCAGAAUUAUGGUAUGUGUUUCUAUGUGACUUCUGUGGAUAGGGUUGCUGUUAAAUGAAAGAAGAGCUUACAUCUGUCUUUUACUUUCUGUGAUCAUACUGUUUUCAUUGUUUACAUAGAUAUUGAUUUUAGCCUCUUGAAUAUGGAAUUUCAUGAUGCAGUUCGUUGUAGUAAAAUUGAAGCUGAUGCUGAUAGUGAGGACAUGUUUAAAUGCAGGUGCAUUCUUACAUGCUUUGGUGCCACUAUCGGGUUGGUUAGAGCAUAUUUCUCCUCAUUCUAUAUGUGAUGAGUGUGAUUUAGUCUUGGCAUUAUGAACUCGGGAGUAAUGUGAUUAAUUUGAGAGUUUAUAAAGAUUUAAUUUUUUAUAUUGAUGGCAUAGUAUGUUAUGAAUUUUAUAGAUUCGAGUGAAUUGAUGAUGAGUUCUGCGGUUAUGAUAUCAUAUUAGGAAUUAGUAAGAAGCUCAAGUAUUUGUUGAAGUUGCUGAGACGGCUGAUUUGAUACAACGCAGGAAGCUUGUAUUAUUUUUCCAGAGAUUCCAAAGCUUCUGAUUUCAAUGUUUUACAUAUGAUGGUUAAUGCUUGUUGUUGUUGCAUCAGGCCAUUGAGAGAAUCAAACAACUUGCUAUCAGCAUUAAGGGCAAGAGCCUCCAAGAGAAGGAUCUGCUAGCUAUCUGUGCAGACAUUUAUCAAUGACUGGUGUGUAACAUUGUACUUUGCUUCAUUAUGGUGGCGCCAUCGUUGGAGAUGGUAACAUUGUACUUUGCAGUUGGUUAGAUUAUGUAGGUUAAGGAUGAUGUGCUUUGGAUGAUACAUUGUGACAUGUAUGUAUUUUGAUUUGGUAUUGAACAACUAUAGAAUCAAUUAUAAAUUUAUGAAUGUCAAGUUUUCAGCUUACUAUUUGAACA